rnacentral:rRNA from 1 species
UAUGCCUUUGAAAGUGAUUGGCCUCGCGCCAUGAGCUUUUAGAGGUCUCAGGUAAUCGGUGGCUGCGACUGUUUAUCAAAAACACAGGACUCUGCGAACACGUAAGUGGAAGUAUAGGGUCUGACGCCUGCCCGGUGCCGGAAGGUUAAUUGAUGGGGUCAGCGCAAGCGAAGCUCCUGAUCGAAGCCCCGGUAAACGGCGGCCGUAACGAUAACGGUCCUAAGGUAGCGAAAUUCCUUGUCGGGUAAGUUCCGACCUGCACGAAUGGCGUAACGCUGGCCACACUGUCUCGACCCGAGACUCAGUGAAGUUGAAAUCGCUGUGAAGAUGCGGCGUACCUGCGGAAAGACGGAAAGACCCCGUGAACCUUUACUACAACUUUACACUGAACUUUGAACUUGCUUGUGUAGGAUAGGAGGGAGGCUUUGAAGCGUGGACGUUAGUCUGCGUGGAGCCAACCUUGAAAUACCACCCUGGCAUGUUCGGAGUUCUAACCUUGUCCCGUAAUCCGGGAUGGGAACAGUGUAUGGUGGGUAGUUUGACUGGGGCGGUCUCCUCCCAAAGAGUAACGGAGGAGUGCAAAGGUACCCUCAGCGCGGUCGGUCAUCGCGCAUAGAGUGCAAUGGCAUAAGGGUGCUUAACUGCGAGACGGACAUGUCGAGCAGUAGCGAAAGCUGGUCAUAGUGAUCCGGUGGUUCUGUAUGGAAGGGCCAUCGCUCAACGGAUAAAAGGUACUCCGGGGAUAACAGGCUUAUUCCUCCCAAGAGUCCACAUCGACGGAGGGGUUUGGCACCUCGAUGUCGGCUCAUCACAUCCUGGGGGUGUAGCAGCUCCCAAGGGUUUGGCUGUUCGCCAAUUAAAGUGGUACGCGAGCUGGGUUCAGAACGUCGUGAGACAGUUCGGUCCCUAUCUUCCGCCGUUGGAAAUUUGAGGGUGAGUUGCUCCUAGUACGAGAGGACCGGAGUGAACGUACCUCUGGUGUUCCGGUUGUCACGCCAGUGGCACUGCCGGGUAGCUACGUACGGACGGGAUAACCGCUGAAAGCAUCUAAGCGGGAAGCCCCCCCCAAGAUUAGAUUUCCCGAGGACUUGAUCCUCCUAAAGGGCCCAAGAAGACUACUUGGUUGAUAGGCUGGGUGUGUAAGCACAGUAAUGUGUUGAGCUAACCAGUACUAAUUGCCCGUGUGGCUUGACCAU